UACAUGGGGUGCAAACGUUGCUCGGAAUUAUUGGGCGUAAAGCGCGCGUAGGCGGUUACUUAAGUCGGAUGUGAAAGCCCUCGGCUUAACUGAGGAAGUGCACCCGAAACUGAGUAGCUAGAGUACGAAAGAGGGUCGCGGAAUUCCCGGUGUAGAGGUGAAAUUCGUAGAUAUCGGGAGGAACACCGGUGGCGAAAGCGCUCUGCUGGACUGCAACUGACACUCAGGGACGAAAGCUAGGGGAGCGAAUGGG
rnacentral:rRNA from 1 species